AGCAUGCGAAGGGGGGGUGAGAGUUAGUGAGAGCUAGAGAGAGAACAAAGACAGAAAAGAGAGGGAGGGUCAGACAGAGAGCAGUGGUGCAGCAGUCAGUCCUGAGAGCAGGAAGGGGAGAGAAGGAAGAAACGAGGAUCUCACACUGAAAUCUGCAGCUCCAGAGAACUCUGACUCCAAACCCAGAGAAGGACUAAUCACACUUUGACCGAACUACUGAAACAACAGCUUCAGCAACCGCUGGUUAGUUUAGCACACUGAAACAGGACUACACACAUAUGAAAAUAUAAUCUUUUUUCAGAAAGAUUUCUUUGAGAUUUCUGCCAUUUUGCAUUGGUCCAACUUAUAUCGGUCUUUCAUAGGAUCUCUGCCUCCCCCCAGAGGAGACUUGAUGAAAACACAGGGACCGCUUCAACCGGUUAAAAGAAGCAUAUUUUCAACCAGCUUUGUUUCAGUACAGUUUUGGUGGUAUAUGCAAAAUAUCAAUGUUAAACUUCUGUAUCAAGAUCGCUGCUCUUCUUUGUUAGCAAACAAAUUAGGACUGUCGCAUCAAUUACAGAUUGUUGCUCUGCAUUUUUUAAGCACACAGUCAUCAUGUCAUUUGAUCUAAUGCUUUAAAAAUAUGAUUUGCAGGUGUUUUAGUACCUCAAACCCAGUGCAGAAGCAGAAGUAGGAUGUCAGCCACAUCAGACCCUCUGGAGAAGCUGCAGAGCCAAACAGACUCUUUCCUCACUGCAGCCAGGCUUCUCCGUGGAGGAUGGAUCCAGGACGGGAAGAAGAUGGGUUCAAAACCUGCUGAGAUUUGCCUGAAGAACCCCAGCAGCAGUGGAGUUUCUGAUGUCACCAAGAACAGAGAAACACACUCUGAAAAGAAGGCAGAUGAAGUAAAACAGACAAGUGAAGGUGGAUUCUUAGCAAACAGACAAAGAGAAGGACAGACGGGUUUCUACAUUCAGACAGGAAGCGUUCGUGUUUGGGUGUCCAGCUGUCGCACCACAUCCAGGAAGUCCAGGAGGUUCAAGGCUCCGAUACUGCCAGUCAUUGCUGAGGUUUAGGCUACUUUUGUACUUCACCUCCUUUAUGAUAUGAGUUGGUAAUUUUCUUGAUUAAUCAAACUGUUGUUUGCUCUGUAAAAUGUCAGAAAAUCAGGAAAAGUCUGUGUUUCCAAAAGCCUAAAAUGACAAUCCUCAAAUGUCUAGUUUUGUCUGAACUCAAAAUUAUUCAGUUUACUGUCACAGAGGUGGAAAUGAACCAGAAAAUAUUCACAUUUAAGAGGAUGGAAUCAGAAAAUGUUUACUUUUUGAGAUAUAUGUUUUGAUGCUGAGUUUGUUUAUUAAACUGCAAACAUGUAGAAAUGUGACGGGUUGGUGAUCUGUUACAGUUAAAAAUAUACAUAAUGGGUGUGGUAUCAAGACUAGAUAUAAUGUCUAUUCUUUUUUUAUUGUCUGACCACACAGCCAAUUUAGUGAGUCCUUGAGCCAUUUCAAUCACACUACACACUUCUAUCAGUUUGAUAUUUGCAAUGAAUUUGUUGGCCUCAGUUAGCAGCAGCUCUUUGCGAACAUUUUUUUUUCCAAGUAAGAACUGAACAAGCAACUUCAAGAAAAGGAGAACGCUGUCUUUAACUUUGUUUUUUUUUUCUUUUUUGUUGUUUAUUUUGUGUUUUAUUUCAUUCAUUUUCCAGAGUCUCAAUAAAUAAAUGCAAUUCCUCCAUA